AGAAAGGAGAACUGAAGGAGAAGUCUAGAGAAGCCAGCUACACCUACAUUAGAAAGAGUGGAACAGAUCACGGGUCACAGGAUUAAGGCUAGAUGGGGUUUGAGAUGUGGGAAGACUUGAGGUCAUUUUGAGUUUUGAGAAAAGGAGAGACAUGAAGAGGCAGAAAACAUGUUUACUGGACCCAGCUACUUUGCAGUGAUUAGUGGGACCUUCAGAACAUAAAUAGAUCCUAAGGAGUGAAUGCUUGUACCCCUUCCAAAAUUUAUAUGCUGAAGCCUUUAUAUGGUUGUAUGUAAAGACAGACCCACUAAUGAAGUAAUUAAGGUUAAAUGGAGUCAUAAGAGAGAGGCCCUAAUUCCAUAAGAUUAGUGUCCUUAUAAGAAGAGACUCCAGAGAACUCACUUUCUCACUCUCUCCCUCCCUUUCCUUGCAUACAAACCAAGGGAAAAUCAUAUGAGAACAUAGCAAGAAGGUAGCUGUCUGAAAGCCAGGAAGAGAGGCCUCAGCAGGAAAUGAAUCAGCAAGAACCUUGAUCUUGGACUUCUAGCCUCCAGAAUUAAAUCCGUCCUGGAAUUUGGCACAUGUAUGGGAUAUGGAUAGAAAAUAAGAGCAAAGAGGAAUUCAAGAUAAUGAGGCAAUAUAAACAAAAGUUGAAAAGAGAAAAUGAGCAUGCAGUGCCUAGAGAUGCCAAGGAAUCCAGAUCACUGAGGUCGGAUAGAUGUGUCUUUCCAGAAUUUGAUGAGGUUAACCAGGUAGAGCCAGAUGGUAGAGAUCCUUGAAUACCAGGCAAGGGAGUUCAUCUCUCCAC
rnacentral:lncRNA from 1 species